AGCGACUAAGCGUACACGGUGGAUGCCCUGGCAGUCAGAGGCGAUGAAGGGCGUGCUAAUCUGCGAUAAGCGCCGGUAAGGUGAUAUGAACCGUUAUAACCGGCGAUACCCGAAUGGGGAAACCCAGUGUGACUCGUCACACUAUCAUUAACUGAAUCCAUAGGUUAAUGAGGCGAACCGGGGGAACUGAAACAUCUAAGUACCCCGAGGAAAAGAAAUCAACCGAGAUUCCCCCAGUAGCGGCGAGCGAACGGGGAGGAGCCCAGAGCCUGAAUCAGCAUGUGUGUUAGUGGAAGCGUCUGGAAAGGCGCGCGAUACAGGGUGACAGCCCCGUACACAAAAGCGCAUGUGCUGUGAGCUCGAUGAGUAGGGCGGGACACGUGGUAUCCUGUCUGAAUAUGGGGGGACCAUCCUCCAAGGCUAAAUACUCCUGACUGACCGAUAGUGAACCAGUACCGUGAGGGAAAGGCGAAAAGAACCCCGGCGAGGGGAGUGAAAAAGAACCUGAAACCGUGUACGUACAAGCAGUGGGAGCCCCACCACCAAAGCAUUCUCUGGUGUUGAAGGCCCUGCAAAGCAGCAUCGCGGUGGCGGAGCGUCGUUUGCGACGCCCAACACACAAAACAAGCGGUGAGUGCUUUGGGGUGGGGUGACUGCGUACCUUUUGUAUAAUGGGUCAGCGACUUAUAUUCUGUAGCAAGGUUAACCGUAUAGGGGAGCCGCAGGGAAACCGAGUCUUAAUUGGGCGUUAAGUUGCAGGGUAUAGACCCGAAACCCGGUGAUCUAGCCAUGGGCAGGUUGAAGGUUGGGUAACACUAACUGGAGGACCGAACCGACUAAUGUUGAAAAAUUAGCGGAUGACCUGUGGCUGGGGGUGAAAGGCCAAUCAAACCGGGAGAUAGCUGGUUCUCCCCGAAAGCUAUUUAGGUAGCGCCUCGUGAAUUCAUCUCCGGGGGUAGAGCACUGUUUCGGCUAGGGGGCCAUCCCGGCUUACCAACCCGAUGCAAACUGCGAAUACCGGAGAAUGUUAUCACGGGAGACACACGGCGGGUGCUAACGUCCGUCGUGAAGAGGGAAACAACCCAGACCGCCAGCUAAGGUCCCAAAGUCAUGGUUAAGUGGGAAACGAUGUGGGAAGGCCCAGACAGCCAGGAUGUUGGCUUAGAAGCAGCCAUCAUUUAAAGAAAGCGUAAUAGCUCACUGGUCGAGUCGGCCUGCGCGGAAGAUGUAACGGGGCUAAACCAU
rnacentral:rRNA from 1 species